AACUGUUCUACUUAUGCUAGUUGAUUAUCAAUAGGAGACCUCGAGUAGUGGCCUAGGGAAUUAACAUUAUAUACAUCGUCUAACCCUGUUUAUGUUGGCGAAUUAGGAAUAGAAAGCUCUGAGUAGUGGUUAGUGAGUUAUUUCGUAAGGGAUCGUCUAUAACGGUUUUGUUAGUUUCCCAUGAUAUUAUAAGGAUUAGACCAUUCAUACAAGGUAUCAUACAUCAACAAGAGAGGAUAAGAGGAUUGUAAUACACAACCCAACUGUCUUAAUACUUCUGUUUUAAAAUUGUAAUUUAUUUUCCAUUCUAAAACCUGACCCCCCCCCCCUCCAUUUACUGUUUUUCCUUUAUAUUACACAAUUGUUGGCUUAUUUGAACACAUUCUCUAUAGAUUUAAUCAGUAGUGAGACGCUCCAGUGGCUAAAUUCUUAUGUUUUUGUUAUUAUCAUGAAUCGAGUUUCGUAACUUGGAAUGAGACGCGGUUCGAAGCAUUGAAAGAUAACAUGAAUUAUUAUUAAUUGGUAAUGAUUUUAUAGGCUGAAUGUGUUGUGAUAACAUGAGUAGUUGAUGAGGAUGAUUAUUAAAAAUUAUUUGAUUGAGUAAAUGGCGAGUUGGGUGAGUUUGAGGAGUAUGUUUUAUGAGUUGUGGAAAUGUUUGAAUAUGUUACUAUGACGAGAUGUUAAGCAUUGAGAAUAAGUAUGAAAUAUAUGAAUGUUGUGAAUAUGGAUUAUUUGUAGUUAUGUUUGUUGUAUUGUUGCAUGUUUGAAAUAUAAUUCUGUUAAGGUGAGUUAUUAGCACGCUUGCAUUAAACUGUUGAUUGAUAAUGUGCAUUUUGUGAUUUUGGUGUGAUAUAAUCCAGAGAGGGGAUUACUUGAGUUGUCAAUGCAUUGAUAAUGUGCACUUACUUGUGUAGAGAAUGUUGUGUUAUUAUCCUACCUUACAAUAUAUGUUUGUUAUUAUUGUUUGUGAUUUCGCACUCCUUUGAUGUUGUUGUUGUUGUUGUGGUAUAUGUUUCUAUUCGGGGUACAAAUAAGCAGGUGACUGAGUAGCUUCUUAGAGUGGAGGAUGACAUGAGCUUGUUUUUUUUUCUUACCGUGUUUAGUUUACAUGCUCUGAUAUGUAACACCGAGCAAAACAUUUAUGAUUUAUCUUCUGUUGUGUUGAGUAGAGAGUUAAAGUAUACUCUCAUGGUUGAUGUUUUGAGGUUUUGAAGAGAUUGUAUUUAUGAUUUUGUUUAUGGUAUAAAGUAUUUAAAAUUAAAUGAUUUACUGAUUACAUGUUUUUUAAUGAGAAAUUCCA
rnacentral:lncRNA from 1 species